UUUGUGCUGAGAGUGGGUCAGAGCGGCUCCAGGGCAAAGCAUGUGGACAGGUAUCCUGGCCCCCUGCAAGGCCCAGCUCCUGUCCUAGGCCCUGGUCACCUCCUGGACUCCCACCAGCCAGGAGAACGGGCUUUCCCUCUCCUUCCGCCUGCGGAGGGGAAGCUGAAGUCUGGUCUUCCUCAGGUCUGGUCUUCUCUCGUCUGAGCCCUGAGUACUACGACCUGGCAAGAGCCCACCUGCGUGAUGAGGAGAAAUCCUGCCCGUGCCUGGCCCAGGAGGGCCCCCAGGGUGACCUGUUGACCAAAACACAGGAGCUGGGCCGUAACUACAGGACCUGUCUGAUGAUAAUCCAAAGACUGAAGGAUAUGGUGGAGGAUCAGCCCACCCAGGUGAGGCCAAGGGGCUACAGAGCCUCCUGUCUGCUGCUCAAUGGAGGGGCCAGCCUGUGACCAGGUCGGGGAUCGGGGAGCCCGGGGGCACCUUGCACAGUGAUCCUGGGGGAGGGCUUCCGAGAAGGGAAUCUGUGAGUCCCCGUGUGUCUGUGGAUGAAUUUCAGAGAACUUGUGAAAUUGUGACUCUCUGGAACUGUGUAAGUCAGACGGCAGAGUAUACAUGGUUUUCAUCAUGUAUCCUCAAAGAGGGCUUGUCCCAGAGAAGUUAGGAAUCUUCCCCUAAAGCCCUAACGUUUGUGUCCAAGGCAGAGUUUGAGAAGCUAGUUCCCCAAGA
rnacentral:sRNA from 1 species